rnacentral:rRNA from 1 species
AGUAGACCAACAGGGAUUGCCUUAGUAACGGCGAGUGAAGCGGCAACAGCUCAAAUUUGAAAUCUGGCCCUCGGGUCCGAAUUGUAAUUUGUAGAGGAUGAUUUUGGUGCGGUAUCUUCCGAGUUCCUUGGAACAGGACGCCUUAGAGGGUGAGAGCCCCGUACGGUUGAAUGCCUAGCCUCUGUAAAUCUCCUUCGACGAGUCGAGUAGUUUGGGAAUGCUGCUCUAAAUGGGAGGUAAAUUUCUUCUAAAGCUAAAUAUUGGCCAGAGACCGAUAGCGCACAAGUAGAGUGAUCGAAAGAUGAAAAGCACUUUGAAAAGAGGGUUAAAUAGCACGUGAAAUUGUUGAAAGGGAAGGAUUUGUGACCAGACUUUUUCUGGGCGGAUCAUCCGGGGUUCUCUCCGGUGCACUUUGCCCAGUAAAGGCCAGCAUCGAUUUUCGGCGGCGGAUAAAAGCAGUGGGAAUGUGGCUCCCUACGGGGAGUGUUAUAGCCCAUUGUAUAAUACGCUGCUGGGGAUCGAGGUACGCGCUUCUGCAAGGAUGCUGGCGUAAUGGUUAUCAAUCACCCGUCUUGAAACACGGACCAAGGAGUCGAACAUUUAUGCG